CUGGCUUAUUUUAAUUACGCACUGAAAUCGCACUCUGGCAUGUUUAAUUACAAAAACUGUCAAAUCAACAGGGUUUUUUGGAAACUGGAUUGAUGCUGUCAUGCUGCUAAGAUGAGCAAGAGUUGGGAUGCUAAAAUCUCUAUGUUGUUGCAGUCAAUAAGCACCUUGACAGGAUGAUUGUCAGGAUAUGUUUUAUGUAUAUGUUUAUGUUAUGUAUAUAUUUAACAUUUUUUUAACCAGGAAAAACCCCAUUGAGAUCGAAAUCUCCUUUACGAGUGGGACCUGACGUAAAACACAGUUACACAAGACAGCGGGCAAACGAGUCACAGACAAACUGGGAACGAGACCGCAGUGUAACGAAAUGGACGCAAGCUGUGUUUUGCAUUCUGAGCAUCUGAUCUUCCUUGGAGCCCUGGAUGGGAUUGUACACGGGGAUGAGGUUAUUGAUUCCCACUUGGACAUCAGUCAGGAAGGAGCAGAAGAGAAACACAAACACAGCGUAAUGUCUGUGAUGAAGGAAUGAAGCGGAUGUUUCAUUGGAGUGUGAACAAGCGUUCGUUUUAAUGAGAUGGGCUGCCGGACCAAAGGGCUGUAAUUUCAGGGAACCUCGUGAUUAGGAAGGUAGGGAGGUGCUUCACCUAGGCCCAGAGACACUGCAACACCUGUGCCUGCCCCCGUCACCCUCGUCAUCCUCACGCCGUCAUCCCGUUAAACCGCAUGUUCCAGUGAGUCAUCCGCCGGGGUUCAAUUACACACCACUGGCAUAGAAAAGAGCUUCCGGUCCAGCUAUGUUCACAAAAACUAUGUGGGGGCAGUUUUACUGGAGCAGAAAUCAAACUUAACCUUUUGACCCUUCACGGGAAGCUGCACCCAGGCUCUUGGGAGAGAAUAACAACAGCUAGAGCUCUGAUUUGCAUAAAAAAGAUACUAUAUGUUGAUACAGAUUUUUAAAGCAUAGCACCAGCUGCAGACAAAGAUUAUCAGCAGUUUGUCGAAGGUCAUAGGAAAUUACUGAUGUACAGUUGAACCCAAACAUUUUGCUUCUCUUAUCUUGUUUGGUCUGCUUAUCUUGUGGCAUUGUAGUGUGGAAAGGUUUUUCAAAUGUACGGACUGCUGAAAUGUGACGCGAAGCUCCCAGGACCUAUUUAUUAUGUCCAAACGGUAUAUUGAAUAAUUUUAAUUUGUUAAUUGUCUAGAUCUACCCUUUUUACCGUUGAUGACAGGGACAUUUGCUGACAUCAGCAGUAAUUUGAAUCUCACAAAAUCACUUUAAAACAAUUUCUUGAAUAGACAAAGACC